rnacentral:rRNA from 1 species
CCGGCGACCGGCGCACGGGUGAGUAACACGUAUGCAACCUGCCCGUCUCAGGGGGAUAAUCGUCGGAAACGGCGUCUAAUACCCCGUAUGAAGCUGGACGGCAUCGUCUAGUUUUGAAAGAAUAUCGGAGACGGAUGGGCAUGCGGCGCAUUAGCUAGUUGGCGGGGUAACGGCCCACCAAGGCGACGAUGCGUAGGGGUUCUGAGAGGAAGGUCCCCCACACUGGUACUGAGACACGGACCAGACUCCUACGGAAGGCAGCAG